ACUGUUAUGAUAGAGGAACUCCCAAGGUCUCACAGAAUCACUAUAAGCUUGUCAUCCAACAGAGGCAUGCAGGAAGCCUUCUUAAAGGAGGUGAGUCAAUCCAAGUAUAAUGGAUCAGCAGGAAUUGGCUAGAAAAAGAAUUGGGAUUAAAACAUGGGGAAUAUUACAUUCAAAGGAACAGUGUUACAGAGUUUUUAAGGACAUAGAGAAACAACAAAUGAUGCUGUUUGGCUAGAGGGAAGGGGGAAUAACACACACAGUGUGGCUGUGGGGUCCUAACCUCAUCCCUUCCACUCAGCCCUGCCCAGAGGAUGCCACCCAUGACUCAGCUUUGCCAGCCAUCAGAUCUCAACCAAAGUCAAUGGGCCAGUAGCAAGCACACAGCCCAAGGUGGACCAACGAUAAUCUUCCUGGAGAAUUUUCUUCCAUAUCUAUGUUUUUAAAAUCAUCGUUCCUCUAGGGUUGAUAAUUGGUAGCAUGUGAGUGGAGGCUGCCAGGGCCAUCUUCCCAUUAGGUGGAGAAAGCUUGUCAGCAACUAAAGCAGAGAUGAAGUAAUCACAGACAGAGAGAAACAAAGAGAAACAGAGACAGGAGGACCACCCAGAGGACACAGCUUGAAGCUCCGGAUCCAGGCAUGCUUGAAAUUUGGAAUUUACAUAGCUUGGACUUUCCAGUUAUAUGAAGCAAUAAUUUCAUUUUGUUGCAUAAAUUCUGGGGUUUUCUGUUUGUUUGUUUUGUUUUUGUCCUAAUACAGUGAGUGAGUCUGAGAUACAUCGGGGUCAUCCAAAUGGGUGUAUCCAAAAUGUGUCUUAGCUCAAGAGACAAGUUAGGAGAAAUCAAUACAUUUGGAACUAUCACCACGAGAACUGAAACCUUAGGAAUGAAUGUCAUUGUCAAUAGGGGCACAUGGGUCCAAGAGCAGCAGGCUGAUGUCCAAGCCCUGGGGAGAAGAGCCAGGGGCACUGUGACAAUGAGAAUGAGAAGGAGCCAUCAGAGGUGGAAGGAAAACAAGGAGAGAGUUGACGCCAGAAGCUGAAGGAGGAAAGCCUAAGGCAGAAGGAUUUCUCAUCAGGGCCAGUGUCACAGGUGGCAGCAGGACAUGGUCGUGUUUUCAGGCUUGUUGGGGCUGAGGAAGAAGACAUGUGUACAUCUUGAGGAGGAGCUGAGUUUCUUGUCUGGAUCAAUGUCAUGGAAGCAGAAGUGUUUGUAAGAACAUGAACUGCCCUCAUCUCUGGGAAUUUGCAACAAAAUUGGUGACAACUUUGGACUUCUGCAAAGUAACAGUAGUUUGAAGAGGCCCAAAUUGACACGUGAAUUCAAAUAAAUGCUAAGCAAUUAAUUAAACUUG